CAGUAGCCACGGUAAUACGUAGGGUGCAAGCGUUAAUCGGAAUUACUGGGCGUAAAGCGUGCGCAGGCGGUUAUGUAAGACAGAUGUGAAAUCCCCGGGCUUAACCUGGGAACUGCAUUUGUGACUGCAUAGCUAGAGUACGGUAGAGGGGGAUGGAAUUCCGCGUGUAGCAGUGAAAUGCGUAGAUAUGCGGAGGAACACCGAUGGCGAAGGCAAUCCCCUGGACCUGUACUGACGCUCAUGCACGAAAGCGUGGGGAGCAAACAGGAUUAGAUACCCCCGUAGUCCCUGUCUCUUAUAC
rnacentral:rRNA from 1 species